GACGUAGGGCGCGAGCGUUGUCCGGAUUUAUUGGGCGUAAAGAGCUCGUAGGCGGCUUGUCGCGUCGACUGUGAAAUCUCAGGGCUCAACUCUGACAUUGCAGUCGAUACGGGCAGGCUAGAGUUCGGUAGGGGAGACUGGAAUUCCUGGUGUAGCGGUGAAAUGCGCAGAUAUCAGGAGGAACACCGGUGGCGAAGGCGGAUCUCUGGGCCUUACCUGACGCUGAGGCGCGAAAGCUAGGGGAGCGAACAGG
rnacentral:rRNA from 1 species